rnacentral:rRNA from 1 species
CCUACGGGGGGCAGCAGUGAGGAAUAUUGGUCAAUGGGCGGGAGCCUGAACCAGCCAAGCCGCGUGAGGGAAGAAGGUACAGCGUAUAGUAAACCUCUUUUGUCAGGGAACAAAGGCGGGGACUAGUCCCCGGAUGAGGGUACCUGAAGAAAAAGCAUCGGCUAACUCCGUGCCAGCAGCCGCGGUAAUACGGAGGAUGCGAGCGUUAUCCGGAUUUAUUGGGUUUAAAGGGUGCGCAGGCGGCCUGUUAAGUCAGCGGUAAAAGCCCGGGGCUCAACCCCGUCGUGCCGUUGAAACUGAUGUUC